rnacentral:rRNA from 1 species
CACCAGCGCCUCGAGUGGGGAUCGCGAUUAUUGGGUCUAAAGCGUCCGUAGCAGGCCUUGUAAAUGCUUUGUGAAAUCGGCAGGCAUAACCUGUCGGCGUGCAGAGUAGACUGUAGGGCUUGAGAUCGGGAGAGGUUAGAAGUAUUCUUUGGGUACCGGUAAAAUGGGUUAAUCCAGAGAGGACUACCUAUGGCGAAGGCAUCUGACCAGAACGAUUCUGACUGUGAGGGACGAAAGCUAGGGGA